CAGAGGCUGCUGACUGUCCAUCACUGCUAAUUCUCUGCAGAUACUUGGCUGCUUAGCUGAGAUGACAUCUACACUUCCCAGCAUCCCUUGCAGGUUAUCUCAAUCAACAUGCACACACACCACCACCACCACCACCACCACCAAUGACAACAACAUCUAUAAGAUGGAGAAACUGAGGUUAAGUAACUCGCCCAAGGUCACACAGCUAGUAGAUCGCAGUGACAAGACUUGAGUGCAGAAAACCUGAUUCCAAAGUCCACAGGCUUAACCACUACUCCAUGCUGCCAUCUGGAGGAAGAGGAAAGGGAACCGACAAGCUAUUUCCAGGGCAUCACAAACACCUAAUGAAAUGUGGACAUUUCACUACAAAAGAACCCAGCUGGCUCACAAAGACCCAACCAACUAGUUGCACUGUUUUUUGUGUUAUUUCUA